UGACCACAGGUAGUUAGAGGCUCCCAGGGAAGACAGCCAAGGGGAGGAGACAGACUGAGAUAGAAGAGAGACAGAACUGGGAACUAAGAACUGAGAGGGAGUGUGAAGAACUAAGAAGAAAUCAGUCCUAGGUACAGGGUUUGGGAGAAGACCCAGGGUGCCAAGAUGGGAAGUAGCAGCACCACCAUGUUAGGGAAUUGAGUCCAAGACAGCCUGAGAAGGAAGAGCUAUGUGGGAAAGCAGCAGGAAGCUGGAGGCACCUUCUCAGGAGCUGGAGAAGACUCAGUACUGUUCAGAGUCCCUGGUCAGGUCCCAAUUUUCUGUCCCUGGUGACCAGGACCAACGUACAGGAUUUGAAGGUCUACUGUGAAGUUUCAGCCUCAAUCUCCAGUUCUGUUUCCAUCUUCGCAAGUUCCAUUGUUCGACUAUCCAGAUCUGUGUUCCAGUAUUUGAGUGGCCAUGUCCAAGUUUUGGCAUCUUACUGUUCAGGACCCUGUUCUACCCUAUGAGCCUAUCCAGACCCAUAAUAAAGCU